CCUACGGGUGGCAGCAGUAGGGAAUCUUCCACAAUGGACGAAAGUCUGAUGGAGCAACGCCGCGUGAGUGAAGAAGGGCUUCGGCUCGUAAAGCUCUGUUGGUAGUGAGGAAAGAUAGAGAUAGUAACUGGCCUUUAUUUGACGGUAAUUACUUAGAAAGUCACGGCUAACUACGUGCCAGCAGCCGCGGUAAUACGUAGGUGGCAAGCGUUGUCCGGAUUUAUUGGGCGUAAGGCGAUCGCAGGCGGUUCAAUAAGUCUGAUGUGAAAGCCUUCGGCUCAACCGGGGAAUUGCAUCAGAUACUGUUGAGCUUGAGUGCAGAAGAGGAGAGUGGAACUCCAUGUGUAGCGGUGGAAUGCGUAGAUAUAUGGAAGAACACCAGUGGCGAAGGCGGCUCUCUGGUCUGCGACUGACGCUGAGGUGCGAAAGCAUGGGUAGCAAACAGGAUUAGAUACCCUAGUAGUC
rnacentral:rRNA from 1 species